UGGUGGAGUGAUUUGUCUGAUUAAUUUCGAUAACGAACGAGACUCUAGCCUACUAAAUAGUACGGGGAGCCGUAGUCUCCCCGUUACUUCUUAGAGGGACAAACGGCAAAUAAGCCGUACGAGAAAGAGCAAUAACA
rnacentral:rRNA from 1 species